AAUCACAUGCAAGUCGAACGAUGAAGCCCAGCUUGCUGGGUGGAUUAGUGGCGAACGGGUGAGUAACACGUGAGCAACCUGCCCCUGACUCUGGGAUAAGCGCUGGAAACGGCGUCUAAUACUGGAUAUGUCCCGUCACCGCAUGGUGUGCGGGUGGAAAGAUUUUUCGGUUGGGGAUGGGCUCGCGGCCUAUCAGCUUGUUGGUGAGGUAAUGGCUCACCAAGGCGUCGACGGGUAGCCGGCCUGAGAGGGUGACCGGCCACACUGGGACUGAGACACGGCCCAGACUCCUACGGGAGGCAGCAGUGGGGAAUAUUGCACAAUGGGCGGAAGCCUGAUGCAGCAACGCCGCGUGAGGGAUGACGGCCUUCGGGUUGUAAACCUCUUUUAGCAGGGAAGAAGCGAAAGUGACGGUACCUGCAGAAAAAGCACCGGCUAACUACGUGCCAGCAGCCGCGGUAAUACGUAGGGUGCAAGCGUUAUCCGGAAUUAUUGGGCGUAAAGAGCUCGUAGGCGGUCUGUCGCGUCUGCUGUGAAAUUCCGAGGCUCAACCUCGGGCUUGCAGUGGGUACGGGCAGACUAGAGUGCGGUAGGGGAGAUUGGAAUUCCUGGUGUAGCGGUGGAAUGCGCAGAUAUCAGGAGGAACACCGAUGGCGAAGGCAGAUCUCUGGGCCGUAACUGACGCUGAGGAGCGAAAGGGUGGGGAGCAAACAGGCUUAGAUACCCUGGUAGUCCACCCCGUAAACGUUGGGAACUAGUUGUGGGGUCCUUUCCACGGAUUCCGUGACGCAGCUAACGCAUUAAGUUCCCCGCCUGGGGAGUACGGCCGCAAGGCUAAAACUCAAAGGAAUUGACGGGGACCCGCACAAGCGGCGGAGCAUGCGGAUUAAUUCGAUGCAACGCGAAGAACCUUACCAAGGCUUGACAUACACGAGAACGGGCCAGAAAUGGUCAACUCUUUGGACACUCGUGAACAGGUGGUGCAUGGUUGUCGUCAGCUCGUGUCGUGAGAUGUUGGGUUAAGUCCCGCAACGAGCGCAACCCUCGUUCUAUGUUGCCAGCACGUAAUGGUGGGAACUCAUGGGAUACUGCCGGGGUCAACUCGGAGGAAGGUGGGGAUGACGUCAAAUCAUCAUGCCCCUUAUGUCUUGGGCUUCACGCAUGCUACAAUGGCCGG
rnacentral:rRNA from 1 species